rnacentral:rRNA from 1 species
GACGAACGCUGGCGGCGUGCUUAACACAUGCAAGUCGAACGAUGAAGCCGGAGCUUGCUCUGGUGAAUUAGUGGCGAACGGGUGAGUAACACGUGAGUAACCUGCCCUUGACUCUGGGAUAACUGCGGGAAACUGUAGCUAAUACCGGAUACGACCCUCGGAGGCAUCUCCUGGGGGUGGAAAGAAUUUCGGUCAAGGAUGGACUCGCGGCCCAUCAGCUAGUUGGUGAGGUAAAGGCUCACCAAGGCGACGACGGGUAGCCGGCCUGAGAGGGUGACCGGCCACACGGGGACUGAGACACGGCCCAGACUCCUACGGGAGGCAGCAGUGGGGAAUAUUGCACAAUGGGCGCAAGCCUGAUGCAGCAACGCCGCGUGAGGGAUGACGGCCUUCGGGUUGUAAACCUCUUUUAGCAGGGAAGAAGCGAAAGUGACGGUACCUGCAGAAAAAGCACCGGCUAACUACGUGCCAGCCGCCGCGGUAA